rnacentral:rRNA from 1 species
CCCUCCCCUCCCCCCUAUUUAAAUAGGGGUUAGGGAAAGUUAAGCCUCGUCUCAAUACCAUGUUCCUUUGCCUAUGUUUUGGUUAUAUAGUCCCACUUUAUUGUAUGUUCACAAUGUAAUUGGAUAAUACAAAACUUGUACAACUUUCAACAAUGGAUCUCUUGGCUCUCGCAUCGAUGAAGAACGCAGCGAAAUGCGAUAAGUAAUGUGAAUUGCAGAAUUCAGUGAAUCAUCGAAUCUUUGAACGCACCUUGCGCCCUUUGGUAUUCCGAUGGGCAUACCUGUUUGAGUGUCGUUAUCAUUAUCAACCUCUGUUCUGACCUUUGUGAGUUUAAAACAGAAGAGAUUGGAAUGUUGGGGGGGUAUUUAUUUGCUGGCUUCUUGCAGGUCAGCUCCCCUUAAAUGCAUUAGCAGGAAUCUUAUUGCAGCUGAUAUGGUGUGAUACAUUGUCAGUGCCAGUUCAAGUUUGCUGCAAGCUACAGAGGGGUUCCAGCUUUGAAAUUUUCAAAUAUGUGUUGUUGAUUUGACCUCAAAUCAGGUAGGAUUACCC